AUCUCGUUGGCUGCUUGCUCCUGACUGGCCAGAACCUCUUCAAUCAAGGGCAGAGCAUCGUCCUCCUGGCCCAAGUCUUUUAGGGGUGCCUUUGAGCGCUCAGACUUCCAGGAUGAUCUGCCAGAAGGAUAUGUGAACUUAGCAAAUCCAACAAAUUCAUAAAAUAUACCAGAGUUGGUUAAAUUGCUUAGCUAGUUCUGAAUGCUUCAUUACUACAGAGAAGAAGUAUGAUACAACUUUGUAGUCCAACUACAGUAAGUAUUUAAAUGAAGUUUUUACUUUUUCUAAAUCUCUUUUCAUAUCUAUUAUUAAAUAUUUUUUCCCUUAUGGUAAGCUACUGAAGUAGGUAAAGCAGUUGUUAUGCCACCAUUCAACAGAAAAAGAAGAUAAGACUUUUGUGCUCUUUUUCCAAGAAUACCCAUUAUAUACAAAGCAAACAUAAAUAAAAAUUACAAACUCAAACUGCUCAGCUAAAACUGUGCCUUGACAAAAGUCUUAACAGUUGGUCAACUUUGGAGAAAUGGGCAAAGUGUGCAGAAAUCUAAAAAAGAGUUUCCUUAAUCUGUAUGGAGUUCUGUUCCAAAUUCUCUUCUCUAUCUGUAAUCCUUGCAAAAUCUCCCUCUCUGCCCGCCCUUACUGUUGGCACAACAUUGGGCUACUCUGUCAGAGAAUCCCCAGUCUUAGGGGUUGUUGGUAAAUCCCUCAGGCUUUUCACAUCCCCAUGGGACUCACCGCCCUCCGUUCCUCUUGUAGUUGUCUGGGACAUAAUGAGGCUGCAGAGAAGAAAAGGAAGCAGUGAGUGUACAGUAGAAGCUGACAAAGCUGGAUCAUAUGAUCAGGGGAUAACUCAGGAUAGAGAGGUGGGGAGGUAAAGAAAGAAAAAAAUAGGGCUGAAGCCUUUAUAAGCUGAGUGACUAUGUUUUAAAGUCCGAAGUUCAUACUUCUAUUAAUCUGUAGGCCAAAAGGCUCACAGUUCUUUUUGCCCUAUCCCAGCUUUUAAGUAGUUAACGUAGAGGUUUCAAAGCUAAUGAGUGAGCUGUUGACUGAGCAAGUAGGACCAGAGAAAUCUAGAUGAGAGGCAGGGCUUGGUGGUGGGUAGAAAGAAUAUAAAAUAAAUACUGUUUAGAGAAACCUAAAAGUAAUAAUGGGAAAAACACGGGCAUAAAGGUUUGCUUUCUGGUUAGAUUAUUUCUAAGCAUUCCAGGAUGAUAGCUAUGAAUUUUGACAGGCUCACUUAUAAGAAGACAGGAUGAGAAGAGCUAAUCCAGGGUUUCAUUAUAGCAAAUAGAUGAAUGAGUGACCAAAAUCUUUACAGAAUGAUGAAUGGCAUAAAAUAAUCCGAGGAGUAUGUUCACAACAAUUUA